rfam:Hordeum vulgare subsp. vulgare, WGS project CAJW01000000 data, contig: morex_contig_158290
AUAAUACACCCUCUGUCCCAAAAUUCGUGUCUUAGUUUUAUCUAGAAAUGGAUGUACUUAAAUACUAAUACAUGACUAAAUACAUUCAUAUCUAGACAAAUCAAACACAAUAAUUUUGUGACGGAGGAAGUAUUAA